AGACAGGUGGUGCAUGGUUGUCGUCAGCUCGUGUCGUGAGAUGUUGGGUUAAGUCCCGCAACGAGCGCAACCCUUAUAUUUAGUUGCCAGCACUUCGGGUGGGCACUCUAGAUAGACUGCCGGUGACAAACCGGAGGAAGGUGGGGAUGACGUCAAAUCAUCAUGCCCCUUAUGACCUGGGCUACACACGUACUACAAUGGCCGGUACAACGGGCUGCGAAAUCGCGAGAUGGAGCCAAUCCCAACAAAGCCGGUCUCAGUUCGGAUUGCAGGCUGCAACU
rnacentral:rRNA from 1 species